CUUCCCUGCAGAGGUUGUGCCCAUCUCCACAGUAACUGAAGAGGAUGAAGCACAACACCAUCAGUACAAGAGCAACUUUGUUGAUGCGUGGGACAAAGAUUUUGUUAAGCAGAGAGCCUCUGAGUCACCUGCCAAACCUCUGACAGGUGGGUGGUGACGGUCUCGCUCAAGGUGACCUGGGUGAUGGACUCAUUUUCUGCCAAUGUGUUUUAAGCUCUUCACUGGAUCACUUAUCAAGAUUAACAUGUUAAAGAUGUGUAUGUUUGAAAGACAUAGAGAAGCUGAAGUAUGUGUGACAAUAAACAAGGAGGAAAAGUAGACAUUAUUUUGAAUACGUUGAGUGAAUUUUUUGAAAAACUGGAAGAUCUUGAGAAUAGGAGCCGCCGGAAUAACAUCCGAAUUGUUCAAUCCUGAGCAUGAAGAAGACAGAGAUAUGGUGAAAUUCCUAGACAAACUCUUCCUGAGUCUGCUAGACAUAACAGGCCACAAGCUGGAAAUCGAGCGAGCUCACGGAGUCCCGGCUCGCAGAUAUGCUGAGGGAGACAGGCCCCGAUCAAUUCUGGCCAAAUUUCUGAGAUCAUCCAAUAAAGAUCUAGUGAAGCAAAGGAAAGCUUUCUUGGAAGAAUUACAACAUUUUCUUGUUCCGCGAAUUUGACAAGAGAAACGUGAUUGAUUCAAGGAAUGCAAGAAACUCUUACAUCAAUGGAAGAUUGCUUUUGCUCUGAUGUUCCAGGCCAAAUUGAGAAUAGAUACUAAGGAUGGCCGCAAAGUAUUUACAUGCCCACAACAAGCGAUGUCCUUAAUAAAGUCAAUGAGGUGAGUAAGCCAAUUUGGUUUUUCUCAUAUGGCCUCAAGUGGAUCGAAUCUGCUCUCUGAGGAGGCUGGGUGUCAUUUCGUUUCUUUUUGUGUUGUUCUGCCUAGUGGCUGGAGUAUGUUUUAAGAAAAAAGGGUCGCUUUUACACUGAAGUUCCCGGCUAAAUUGAGAAUAGAUUCUAAGGAUGGCCGCAAAAUAUUUCUAUGCCUACAACUAGCGAUGCCUUUCAUAAAAUCAGUGGAUGGAGGAAGUCAUGGUGUGUUACUUCAUCUGCUGAACUCUUGGAACAGCAGGCACAGUGAUCAUUCAUUGACUGUCCAAGAAAACUGAACGACUUUAUUAUACAUUUUUAUUUUAUGUAUUUUUUUGUGCUGGUUCCGCUAGUGGAUGGAAUUUCUUUUGUGGAUGAACACACCUUCGAGACAGUUUUGUGAAUGAACCUACACGUUCUUUGUGCCUAUUUUGCCUAUUGGCUGGAGUUUGUUUUAUAGAUUAUUUUCUGUUAUGUAUUUCUGUCUCACACAAUUUAUACAGAAACACUGGUCUUUGCAAUCUGAUGGCAAAGUUGUCGCGGGGACUCUCGUAGGUGUACGUGGACUCUUUGAGUUUAUAUGGAUGGAAGCCAGUUGGUGCUGUUGUGCACACGUUUUUUCUGUUUUUUUCCUGGGAAAGUUUGGGGUGAUAGUUGCACUAAUGUUGGAAUGUUUAUAAUUUUAUUUCUGACACAAAAUUUAAUUUUUUCUAAUAUGUCAAAAUGUCAAAUGUUUACAUGAGUGGAUUGUCUCUCUCCAUGUGGAAUGUGAACGGGUUGGGGCACCCCAUUAAAAGGAAGGUUAUUUAUUUUCUUCAACGUAAGAAAUAUAAUAUAGUGUUUCCUCAAGAAACGCAUCUUUCCCCACAGGAAGAAAAUUUGGGAAGAUAUGGGGUGGACAUAUUUACUUUAGUGCUGGCACAAGUAAGAGCAGGGCAGUCAUUACAUAGAUAAGUAAACAUCUAUAAUUCAAAUGUCUCAAACAGAUUAAAGAUAAAUUAGGUAGAGGCAUUAUUGUUGUAGCUGAAAUUCAGGGGCAAAGGUUGAUUUUGGCUAAUAUUUAUGCACUUAACGCUGAUGAUCAGGGUUUUUUUUUAUAGAUCUUGAAGGGAUGCUGCAAGCCGCUGGUACCCCUCAUUAUAUAAUAUUGGGAGGAGACUUUAAUCUGUUGAUGGACUCAGUUCUUGAUCAUAGUGAAGCAAAAGUGCGCAAUCCCCCUAGAGCAACAGUGACGCUUCACAGGAUGUAUAAAAAUCAUGGUCUUGCAGAUAUUUGGAGAAUAUCUUGUAGGGACUAUACAUUUUCUUCAUCAGUCCAUAAUAUUUAUUCUAGAAUAGAUUUUUUUAUAGAUUUUUUAAGUCCCUCAUUUCAUCUGUUGUUGAUUACUCAAUUGGAACAUUUUAAUCUCAGAUCAUGCCCUGAUGUGUUUAGAAGUGUUGCCACAGAUGGAGAAAAAGAAAUCAUGUAGUUGGUGCUUUAAUUUAUCCCUUUUGCAAAAUUCUGAAUUCCAACAAAUGUUAAAGGCUGAAAUCAAUGUUUAUUUGGAGACCAACUGGUCCUCAGUAUCCUCUGUGGUUGUGGCUUGGGAGGCACUUAAGACGGUUCUUAGGGGCCAGAUCAUACAGUAUGCCUCAUUCAUCAAAAAAUCCAAAGGACGAGAACUCGUGGAAUUACAAAGGAAUAUUAAAAGUGCCGAGGCACAGCUGAAGUGCUAAAUGUCGCCUGAUGGCCUAAGACAAUUGACCCGAUUGAAAUACAGAUAUAAUGCUAUUUUCUCGUGGAAGGCUGAGUUUUGGGUAUUCGGGGCAAGACAGUCAUACUUUGAGUCGGGGGACUAAGCAGGGAAGCAUUUGGCUAAGUAAAUAAAGCAGAGAGUCUUUUUCUACCAUUCCCUCAGUGAAAUCUGCUGGUGAUAAAAUAUUUACCUCAGCCAUUGAUAUUAAUAAUGCUUUUAAAGAAUUCUAUCUUGAGCUCUAUAGUUCCACGUCUUCGUCUACAGAUGAAGAUAUUAGAAAUUUGUGGAACCAUUAGAACUCUCUGAAUUGACGAUGGAGCAAAAAAUGGAUUCUGAGAUAAACUUGGAGGGGCUUGACGAGGUAAUUAAGGCCUGGCCUUCAGGCAAAACUCUGGGGCCAGAUGGCUUUGCCACCAAGUUUUUUAGAUCUUAUGCUACAGAACUUGCUCCACUUUUGUUUGAAGUUUAUACAGAAUCAUUAAAGAAUGGAAAGCUUCCGCCAACCAUGACACAAGCCUGGAUCAGUCUGAUUCUUAAUAAAGACAAAGAUCCAAGCAAGUGUAAAAGUUACCAUCCAAUUUCCCUGAUAGAGCUAGAUGUUAAAAUAUCGUUAAAGAUUUUGGCUAACCGAUUAAGUAAAGUUAUAACAUCUCUUAAACAUACAGACCAGGUAGGGUUUAUUCUGGGCCACAGCUCUUCUGAUAACAUUAGGCGUCUCAUCAAUAUUAUGUGGUCAGUGUUAAAUGAUCAGACUCUGCCACCACACCUGACGUGAAAAGGCGUUUGAUAUGGUAGAAUGGGAUUAUUUUACGAUUUAAACUUGUUAUUGGAGGAGGAAGUGUGGGCUAGUAUUCUAAAAAAGGCAAGCCUGCAUCUAGAGAUGCAAUAGUGCGCAUUAUGCAAUUUAAGAUUUAUUGGACCCCUUCUAAAUUGUAUAGGCUUGGUCUUAAAGACACACCCACUUGCUGGCGAUGCCAUUCAGAAGAUAGAGAUGCACCCAUGUUUUUUGGGGGUACUCAAUUACUCAAAGUACUCAAAUUUCAUUCUUCCCCAGACUCUGCAUUUUGGGAGAUGGGGAGUCAUAAAUUUGGAGGAUAAGUACAUACGAAAUUGGGUUUUGACCAGUGCAAUGAUUGGUCGGCAGGUAAUUUUAAGUGAAUGGAAGUCAGAGGGAGCAGCCUCAUUCCCAGAGUGGUGUGAGGAGAUUGGGAGGGUGGCUGCUUUCGAGAAGGGGUCGAACAGAAGGAUGGGAGUUGGGAAUUUUUUCAAUAGGAAAUGGGGCAACUAUUUCGUUUUUAAAUUAUACUUGAUUAUUAUAUUUUCUUUUUUGUUGUUUUAGUUUUGUGUGUGUGUGUGUCUGUGUGUGUGUUUGUCUAUAUUCUAUUGACCAAAGGAGUGUUC